UUCAUUGUAAGCUUUCUUUGGGAGCCGCGUGUCCCGCUUGCGUGUCUGUAACCUCAUACUUAUCACACUGUCGCUUUCAAGAGAGAGAAAUACUUCAGAUAACCCGUCGCUGCUCAACCUCUGCUUCACCCCUCAUCCUCUGCUCCCCUGCUUCUCCUCCGGCCGACACCAUCCUCAACUUCUCCUUCAGCCGACAUCAUCCUUACCAUCACUGUACCGACCAAUUUCUUUAAGAUUGAAGGUGCAAGUUGGAAUGGAUGAAGAACACCUCUAUUUAUACUUGAGCAAGGAUCACAAGGUGAUGCCAAGUGUCCCUGGAGCUUUAAGGUGUUGAUUAGUGUCUCAACAGGUGUAGGACGAAGGAGAAAUGUGGCACAAAUCGGAGCUAGGUGGCACAAGGGAGCAGGCUGCAAUGCCAGCUCAAAACUUGCUGCCAGCGACCUCCUUGCGGACCGCAAGGAGUGACGUCUUUGGACACUUAUGCGGACGGUAUUCCUUUUGAGCAGUACAAGGUAGAGAUCCUGGGACUGGAACCGGACAAUCCAGAGGAGCGCGUAUUUUCUGAUACUGAUAGUGAGGAGCGUGAGCUUUUAAUACAUGGCUAUGGUAAGGUUCAUUACCCCACUUAUGAUGAGGAUGGUAAAGUCCAGCUGAAGUUUUUUUACACAAAGAAUCUGGAUCAUCCAUUUGCUGAUAAAGAUUCCUGGUAUGUGCCGCCUGUCGACAAAGGCCAAAGUGAUCAUGAUACCAAAGAAGAGGAGGAGCAUGUUACAACCAAACGCCAAAGUGAUGGUGAAAACAAUGAUACGAAAGGGGUCAAACGCCAUAAAUCAGGCUGUGGAGGAGGAGGAGGAUGCUACAGUGACUGUGGAACCAGAACCUGAAAAUGAAGUAGUACUACUGUGAGGGAGAAUGGGCAAGUUAUUAAGUACUAGUGGCUAGGAUUUAUGUUGAACUUCUACUUUAUGAAGUAGUAUUAUAGUCAUGAGGAAAAUCGCAUAUAUCACCAGUUUCAUUUUCUUGUUCAGCUCCAUGUUAAAGCAUCUGCGAAACCAAAUCAAAGCUGGCCUAGAUGGGACUCGAGUCCACGCGCACACUUGCCACCAUACCAUCUUAUUAGCAAAUGAGCAAGAGUGCAAGACACUAACAAGUAGUCAGUGGUCUCAUCGUCAACGUCACAUGAAGGACAUUUUCCGUCUCCAAAAGCUACCACCUCUCCAGCCGCCAACACCAUGGUUGUGGGAAUCUUACCGCUUAACGCCCUCCACACACAGCAAGUCACCUUCGACAAUUUUGACCAUCCACUUCCCCCGGUUCUUCUAUAUCCACGCGAACCUAUUUUGACUCCGAAUUCCACUAAUCCACUUUGACAUCCUUCGACUUCCACAACCACUUAUCUGGCUCGUCCCUUAACGAAUGCUGACCCAAAGUAGCCAUCAACUGCUAUUUUAGCUUAUAAUUGAAAAUAAAAAUCAAGUUUCAUAUUUGUUUUAUUUGAGUCUCUUAGUUUUUAUUUUAACGAAAAAAAAACCCUUGAUU